GGGAGCGGCGAACGGGUGCGUAACACGUUGGAAUAUUCCUCGAACUCAGGGAUAACACAUAGAAAUAUGUGCUAAUACCGGAUGGUCCCGAAAGGGUAAAGAUUUAUCGGUUCGAGAGUAGCCUGCGGCCUAUCAGCUUGUUGGUGAGGUAACGGCUCACCAAGGCAAUGACGGGUAGCUGGUCUGAGAGGACGACCAGCCACAAUGGGACUGAGACAUGGCCCAUACUCCUACGGGAGGCAGCAGUAAAGAAUCUUUCGCAAUGGGGGAAACCCUGACGAAGCGAUACCGCGUGAGCGAUGAAGGUCGUAAGAUCGUAAAGCUCUUUUCUGAAGGAAUAAUUCUGAAGGUACUUUAGGAAUAAGCACCGGCUAACUCCGUGCCAGCAGCCGCGGUAAUACGGAGGGUGCAAGCGUUAUCCGGAAUCAUUGGGCGUAAAGCGUACGCAGGUGGUUUGUUAAGUUGAGUAUUAAAUCUUGAAGCCCAACUUCAAGGCUGUGCUCAAAACUGGCAGACUAGAACACUUUAGAGGUGCAUGGAAUUCUGUGUGUAGGGGUAAAAUCCGUUGAUACACAGAAGAACACCAAAAGCGAAGGCAGUGCACUGGAAAGUUGUUGACACUCAUGUACGAAAGCGUGGGGAGCGAAAAGGAUUAGAUACCCUUGUAGUCCACGCCUUAAACUAUGGAUACUAGUUGUUGGGAGAUUCGACCCUCUCAGUGACGUCGCANACGCAUUAAGUAUCCCGCCUGGGAAGUACGGUCGCAAGAUUAAAACUCAAAG
rnacentral:rRNA from 1 species